AAAAUUAUAAGAAAAGUGUGGAAGUUUUUAGUAGGCCCAAGUGCAAGGGAACAGGCAUUCCCAUAUCUUAGUUUAAGAUAGUUGCUGUCGUCAAAUCAGCAAGACCAAGUAUCUUCUGCUCGAGGCUCAGGAACCGAAUCCUUCACGCGAAGGUGUUCCUGCCGGGUUCUAGAACCGGAAGUAGGUUGUAGGGGGAUUCGACCAUUACGAGUCUUCUGGGUGGAUCCGGAAGCUUGGCGGCUUGUAGGCUAUAGGCCUCGUCGUCCGGCCAGUGACCCAUCGUCGC